UACGUAGGUGGCGAGCGUUGUCCGGAUUUACUGGGCGUAAAGGGCGUGCAGGCGGUUUGUCGCGUCUGCUGUGAAAACUGGAGGCUCAACCUCCAGCCUGCAGUGGGUACGGGCAGACUAGAGUGCGGUAGGGGGAGAUUGGAAUUCCUGGUGUAGCGGUAGAAUGCGCAGAUAUCAGGAGGAACACCGAUGGCGAAGGCAGAUCUCUGGGCCGUAACUGACGCUGAGGAGCGAAAGCAUGGGGAGCGAGCAGG
rnacentral:rRNA from 1 species